GCCGAGGUGGUGGAAUGGUAGACACGCAAGACUUAAAAUCUUGUGCCGCGUUUGCGGCGUGUGGGUUCGAGUCCCUCCCCCGGCACUA
rnacentral:tRNA from 1 species